CUUUGGGUGAGACAAAGAUACCUGAACCAAUCAUGUUGCCUACUAUCAGGCUUAUCCCGUUUAGCAAAGAUAUUUCUUUCUUCAGUUGCAUUGUGUUUUGGUUUCCAUCCUGUAUUUCAGAGUGGUCAUUUGGAUCUGUCUUGUCUGAUUUACUGACAGGGCUGUAUUCAGCCAGUGAGCUAUGAGACUUAGCACAGUCUGUCCUUUCUCCCAUCGUGGAAGGGCUGUGAAUUCUCCACGGCUCUGAACUCCAAUCUCCGCUCCUGCCGGCUCCGCGCUGCGGGGAUGCUCAGUCCUCACCGCACAUGCACGAUGGCGGCCGCUCCGUCUCGCAGCCCCGCGCCCGUCACGGUCCGCCCCUCCCUCAGCAGGAAACCACCGCGGGGCCCGAACUCUCGCCCGGCCCCGCCGGGUAACCACAGCCCGCCACGCCCCAGCUCCAAAUGAGGCUGGGACCCAUCCUUCCCUCAGGCGCAAGAUGGAGCUGGCCGCGCCGUUCCCGCCUCAGCGCUGUGGCGGCGGAGGGCCGUUCCCGCCCGCAGCCCCUGUGGGGAUAUGGCGCCUCGGCCCGGGCAGCUGCUUCAGCGCGGGGCCAGCGAGCUCAGCCCCCUACCCACCUCCUCGUUCUGCUUCCAGCUGCUCCCUCACGGACGCAGAGGUCAGGGCCCCAGGCAGCAGGGUGAUAGGCUUUGUCUCUCCGGCUGUUAUCUGCAGCCCCAGCAGGUCUUGCGCAAGUACAGCUGCACUGAAUCCGUUUCCUCCCAAAGCUAUGGGCAGUGUUGUAAAGCAGCAAGCAAUGCCUGUCUGUCGUCUUCUGGAUCUCAGCAGCGCUGCCUGUUCAGCAGAACCAUGAUUUCAAAAAACGAUCAGCUUGAGAUCUUUUCUUCCUGGUUUAACUUCACACUGAGCUGCAGACAUACAUAGAGAACAUGGAUAUAAGGUAUUAAUGUUUUUCCAUUUACCAAACACUUUAAGCCUCCCACUCCAAAGUGCUGCAAUCACUGCUUUUUUUUUUUUUCAGGGCAUAUGAUUGUUUGCAAUUAAAAAUAGAAUAAUUUACAUGCAUAAUGUAACAUUUCUAAGACUUAAGGUCCUGUAUAAGAAAUAUUUCUUAAUUCUCUUAUCUGGAAAGAUGUAAUAACAGCUGUUUUUCCUUUGUGUGAUCCCAAAAACUCAUAAUCUGUUUCCCUGUCUUUUAAAGUCAAGGAAAUAAGGUGUCAUCUGACUUGAAUAAUAUUUACCAUGUUGCACAUUGCACUCCUCCCCUCUAGGUCCAAAACUAGAAUUUUCUGUACCAAUCUUGGAGAUUCCUGCAGGCAGUGGGUUGAUGUGAUCUUUUAAUCUAGCUGGCUUUUUCCUUGAGAGGACUGAAACCAUGGUCUGCCAGAGAGACAGACUUCAGUCAACAGACUAUGACAGAUGCAAGUGAAUCACUGUCAUUCCAAGUCCACUUAAGAAACCUUAAAAAAAGAAAAGUCACAGCAGCAGGCUAUCUCAGGAGGGAAACCUGUGCAGUGGCUGCUUUGUCCCUUCCAACUCCAAUGAUUCCAUGAUGAUUCUGUGAUAGUAAAGAAAAAAAAUGUUCCAAAAGUCUUCAGAUUGUUUAAGACAAAGACAUUUUCCAGUCUGGCCCAAUUCAUUCAUCUUACCAACUGGAUCAAACCUUGUCCAAAACCUCUUCACUCUACACAAAUAGAAAAUUUUGUCCUGUAGCUAGUAGAAGGGUGGCUAACAGGUAACUCAGGAUUGUAGAACUAUUUGAAACAUGCUGUGGAAAGAGGAACUUCAAUAUAUUUUAUAUAUAUAUAUAUAUAUAUCAAAGCGCAAUGAAACAAACAAAGAAAACCCCACUUACGCUAUUGGUAAAAAUGAACAAGAGCACUGGGUUCUGCCUCUGCACAAAACAAAUUAGGCUUGUGCCUAUUUGAAUACUUAGCACUGCCAUUAGGGAUUUUAUUGUACAAUAAGUACCAUACACCAAGAGAAAAUUAAUAGCCAAAGACCAUUGUUAGCUUGGAAAACGUGCCUGUGUCAUUCUGAUUUCUGAGUGUUGACAGCAGAGUUCAGAUGUGAAUUUUCCUGUAUGGAUAGGUCAACUGCUUUAUCCUUAAAUCAUGCCAUCACUCAGUAGUAAAUUGAAAAGGAUGGACAGCCAGGUGAAGGAAUUAUCAUACGCCAAUUUGAAACCAACCAGCAAAAAUAAUAAGGAAAAAAACAAACAGGAAACUGAGCUUUUCACCUACAGAUAGAGGCAGGCUUCACAAGUCAGAAGCAGUUUCCAGCUCAGUAUGAAAUCAGACCACAAAAGGAAAUAAGUGGUUUCCCCUUCUAGUCACCAUUUUCAACACUGAGUAUCUACGUUUGUAGCUUAAAACUACAGUCUGGGAUCUGGGAGAAUAUUGCCCUCUGGAACUGGAAAUUCAGUCUUACCUGUCACUGGUUUUCAAGGUGCAUAGUUUGUGGUCUGUGUCCAAGUGCCAGUGGUGGGUCCUAAUGCUGUUUUCUUUACCUGAAGGUGGACCAGAUAAGGGAAGAGUACAAAAUGGUCUUCUACUGUCAGAGCUUGGGUGAUCUAGUAAGACAAAAAGAAAGUUUAAAAGGAGUAAGAUGAGACCUGUAAAUGGAACAGCAACAGAACAUAAUGUUUCAUUCCAGUCCUCUGCAGUGGAUAAUAAAGUUAAAACUGAUGGGAGAACUCCUUUUUAAUUACUAGCUGCUCUUUGGGCACUUGUUAAUUGGUCACUACUCCUAGGAAGAUUUUGGUGUAUGCUGCUGUGUGCUUUCAUGUUUUUCAGGAAUUCUGUACGAAUUUGUUUCUUAAGUUACAGAAAAUUCCAUUCUAAAUCUGUCAGCUGUUGAUCAGAACUAAAUGCUUGGAAAUGCAGAUGUUGUUAUAAGUUAGUUAGUUCCCUGUGGCUCACUAUUUAUUUCCAAAGGUAUGAGGAAUACAGUAAAAACAUUUCUGCAGCCAGCUCAUGCUUUGGAUGACACCGGUAGAGGGCAGAGAUCUGAGAACAGACACUUGUACUUGGAAAACAUGUGUACAUGUGGCAAUAAUAGUGAUAUUUAUCCUUUUCUUAGAAUAGCUGGAACUGAAUAUGUUUCAAGGUAGAGACCUUUCUUUGUUGUGUUCCAUGGGACAGAAUUUGCCAGAUCCAUGUCAAGAAAAUUUUCUCUUCCUGCAUCAUUCAUUCUGCUAUCAAAUAGAAUAGUUGACAAGCUUGGUACUACAAGAGUUGAGUUUUUGUGAACAGAUGACCUGAAAAAAAAAAGAAAAUAGAGAAGAAUUAUCUUGAAAACCUUCUUCCAAACCCUUUUCUAAGCAGCUUUGUCUUGGAAUCUAAGGCUGUAUCAGUGCAGGUAAAGGGGUGAGUGUGCAGCUGUUGAGCCUUUAGACUCUCUUAAUUCUACUUCACCUAGUUGCCUCUGUUGCUGUGGCAGCACAGACCUGUAGGCUACCUGUCCUAGUUUUUACUGCUGUCCUGGAUUGUUUCUGAAGCCUGUGCUGCCAGCAGCCAUUGUCUCAGUAGAAAACAAGUUGUUCAGUAUAAAGUUAGCUCUUAUCUAGGUACACAGUCUUCAGUUCUUUUGACAUUGGCAGGCCUGCAACAAGUUCCAACAUCACUUUGAGAAUGAGAGUCAACAGUGUUGUUGAGUAAUCACAAAACAGUCGUCCUUGCUGUUUAAGAAAAUGAGUUGCAAAUGCUUUUUUCCCCAGCUGACACUUUAGGAGAAAAAAGAAAAACACACAAGGAAGUCUAGAUUUUUGCCAUUGCAUUAAGGCCUUCUCAAGGAGAGGUUCAAAGUGACUUUUAGACAGAGGGUGUUUUUGCAAGAGCAGCAGUCUGCUGCUUAUAAGAAGGUAAAACAGGGUUUUGUUGAUCGACUGGAUAUAGUUGUUCUUGUUAGGGACACAAACAAGAUUUUGGGACAUUUUGCUCUGAAGUGUUUUAUUAUGUAAUGUCAGUAACUGGCAAGAGAGUCAAGAAGCUUAGGAAAUACUUUUGUAAGACUCUCAAAAACAUGCAGUGUACUCCCCUCUGAAUUAUGUAUGCCUGUCUACGGUAUGAAUACUUUUGAACCUUUGUAUGCAUUAAGUGCUGUCUCCUGGGGAAAAAAAAAAAUAGCACAGGAACACUAGUAAGAAUACAGAAUGUUUGCUCAAUUCACAUUUGUCAGGAGCUAGAAUACUGACACUGACAUUUUAUGGUGACAAUAUAUAUAAUACUCAAGUAUGC
rnacentral:lncRNA from 1 species